UACGUAGGGUGCAAGCGUUAAUCGGAAUUACUGGGCGUAAAGCGUGCGCAGGCGGUUUUGUAAGUCAGAUGUGAAAUCCCCGGGCUUAACCUGGGAACUGCGUUUGAAACUACAAGGCUAGAGUGUGGCAGGGGGGGGUGGAAUUCCACGUGUAGCAGUGAAAUGCGUAGAGAUGUGGAGGAACACCGAUGGCGAAGGCAGCCCCCUGGGUUAACACUGACGCUCAGGCACGAAAGCGUGGGGAGCAAACAGG
rnacentral:rRNA from 1 species